CCUACGGGGCGCAGCAGUGGGGAAUAUUGCACUAUGGGUGCAAGCUUGAUGCAGCCAUGCCGCGUGUAUGAAGAAGGCCUUCGGGUUGUAAAGUACUUUCAGCGGGGAGGAAGGCGAUAAGGUUAAUAACCUUGUCGAUUGACGUUACCCGCAGAAGAAGCACCGGCUAACUCCGUGCCAGCAGCCGCGGUAAUACGGAGGGUGCAAGCGUUAAUCGGAAUUACUGGGCGUAAAGCGCACGCAGGCGGUCUGUCAAGUCGGAUGUGAAAUCCCCGGGCUCAACCUGGGAACUGCAUUCGAAACUGGCAGGCUAGAGUCUUGUAGAGGGGGGUAGAAUUCCAGGUGUAGCGGUGAAAUGCGUAGAGAUCUGGAGGAAUACCGGUGGCGAAGGCGGCCCCCUGGACAAAGACUGACGCUCAGGUGCGAAAGCGUGGGGAGCAAACAGGAUUAGAUACCCCCGUAGUC
rnacentral:rRNA from 1 species